UACGUAGGCAGCGAGCGUUGUUCGGAAUUACUGGGCGUAAAGAGUGUGUAGGCGGUGCUCUAAGUUCGGUGUGAAAUCUCCUGGCUCAACUGGGAGGGUGCGCCGGAAACUGGAGUGCUUGAGCGUGGGAGAGGAAAACGGAAUUCCUGGUGUAGCGGUGAAAUGCGUAGAGUAUCAGGAGGAACACCUGUGGUGUAGACGCUUUCUGGACCAUAGCGUGACGCUGAGCACACGGAAAGCGUGGGUAGCAAACAGGAU
rnacentral:rRNA from 1 species